rnacentral:rRNA from 1 species
GAACUUAAGCAUAUCAAUAAGCGGAGGAAAAGAAACCAACAGGGAUUGCCCCAGUAACGGCGAGUGAAGCGGCAACAGCUCAAAUUUGAAAUCUGGCGCCCCCCGCGGGCGCCCGAGUUGUAAUUUGCAGAGGAUGCCCUUGGCGCGGCGCCUUCCGAGUUCCCUGGAACGGGACGCCACAGAGGGUGAGAGCCCCGUACGGUCGGACGCCAAGCCUCUGUAGGGCUCCUUCGACGAGUCGAGUAGUUUGGGAAUGCUGCUCAAAACGGGAGGUAUAUGUCUUCUAAAGCUAAAUACCGGCCAGAGACCGAUAGCGCACAAGUAGAGUGAUCGAAAGAUGAAAAGCACCUUGAAAAGGGGGUUAAAAAGUACGUGAAAUUGUUGAAAGGGAAGCGCUCGUGGCCAGACUCGGCCCCGGCGAAUCACCCGGCGUUCUCGCCGGUGCACUUCGCCGGGCGCCGGGCCAGCAUCGGCCCGCGGCGGGGGACAAAGGCGCCGGGAACGUGGCUCCCCCGGGAGUGUUAUAGCCCGGCGCGCAAUGCCCCGCGGCGGGCCGAGGUCCGCGCGUAAGCAAGGAUGCUGGCGUAAUGGCCACCAGCGACCCGUCUUGAAACACGGACCAAGGAGUCGUCCUCGUGUGCGAGUGUUCGGGUGUCAAGCCCCUACGCGGAGUGAAAGCGAACGCAGGUGGGAGCCCUCGGGCGCACCAUCGACCGAUCCUGAAGUUCUCGGAUGGAUUUGAGUAAGAGCACACGGGGCCGGACCCGAAAGAAGGUGAACUAUGCCUGUGUAGGGUGAAGCCAGAGGAAACUCUGGUGGAGGCUCGCAGCGGUUCUGACGUGCAAAUCGAUCGUCAAACAUGGGCAUGGGGGCGAAAGACUAAUCGAACCUUCUAGUAGCUGGUUCCCGCCGAAGUUUCCCUCAGGAUAGCAGUGUCGGACUCAGUUUUAUGAGGUAAAGCGAAUGAUUAGGGACCCGGGGGCGCUCUUCAGCCUUCAUCCAUUCUCAAACUUUAAAUAUGUAAGAAGCCCUUGUUGCUUCGUUGAACGUGGGCAUUCGAAUGCAUCGACACUAGUGGGCCAUUUUUGGUAAGCAGAACUGGCGAUGCGGGAUGAACCGAACGCGAGGUUAAGGUGCCGGAGUGGACGCUCAUCAGACACCACAAAAGGCGUUAGUACAUCUUGACAGCAGGACGGUGGCCAUGGAAGUCGGAAUCCGCCAAGGACUGUGUAACAACUCACCUGCCGAAUGUACUAGCCCUGAAAAUGGAUGGCGCUCAAGCGUCCCACCCAUACCUCGCCCUCGGGGUGGGAAUCGA